rnacentral:rRNA from 1 species
UACAGAGGGUGCAAGCGUUGUCCGGAAUCACUGGGCGUAAAGGGCGCGUAGGCGGCCUGAUAAGUCGGGGGUGAAAUUCUGCGGCUUAACUGCAGGACGGCCUUCGAGACUGUCGGGCUUGAGCACGGUAGAGGCUGGUGGAAUUCCCGGUGUAGCGGUGGAAUGCGUAGAGAUCGGGAAGAACAUCGGUGGCGAAGGCGGCCAGCUGGGCCGUUGCUGACGCUGAGGCGCGACAGCGUGGGGAGCAAACAGG